GCCACAUGCCUCCUCCCCUUCCCGGGCCCAGCGGUCUCAGCCGGCCCGCGGAGGCCCUCUGUGCGGCUGGACUGCGCGCCUUCCCUGGCCUCCAGGAUUUCAGAGAGAAAUCCCUGCUUUAGCCCGGGGGCUCUGGGAUAGGAAGACUGAGGUCAAAGAGGCGACCGCUUCUGGGACGCGGCAGCGAGACGGUGACUUUUUCAAACUAAAGAAGCUGAGCUUGCACUGGUGGCCAAGGACAUUGGGGAACAGAGACCUCUGAAGCCCAGACACAGGAACAGGAGGCUGAGCAGACCUGGGACUGUUUUCUAGGUAUUAACACGUUUACUCCUCUCAACAACCCGUGAGACGAGACCCAGUGCAAUCAUCCCAUAACACAGAUGGGAAAACGGAGAUUCCGAGAAGUUACAGAAUUGUCCCAGAGAAAGUGAUGUGGAUUUGGGCUGCCAGGCUCCAGGGACCUCGCCCUGACCUCCCCCAACUCCAUCCCACCCCGCCCCUCCCCACAGGGCCUCUCAGCUGAGAGGGCAGCCUGGCUGGAAACAUUAGAAGGGACCGAGGCAGCGAGAUGUCUAAAAUAGGAAGACGCCGGGGACGGUUGGCCUGGCUGGCCGCGACGCUGGCUGUGGGGAUCUGGCCGGCUGUGCAGACGGAAAAGCUAAGAGACAUUGCCUGCAAUGUGGGAGAUGCAGAAAUUGACUCAUCCAUCCAUUCAGUUAGUCACUAAAUUUUUUUUGAGCAUCUACUCGGCGCCAGACACAGUGCCAGGCACUGGAUUUGCAGCAGGGAGCAAGGCGCAGCGUCUGGCCUCCCGGGACGCACAGGGCCUGAACGCUUCCUCUCCAUGGAAUGAAUUCCCCGGAUCCUCACGCCUCUCCGUGUUCAAGUCUCUGGUCAAACGCCACCUCCUCGAAAGCCUUCCCUAGCCCCCCUUUCUAAGAUAUCAUGCUCCCUGCCCUCCCGUCACUCUCUAGCCCCCCUGUCCCCAGCUUGAGCUUUCUUCCUGGCACUGCGGGUACCAUUUGAUUAUACUAUGUAUUUAUUUGCAUAUCAUCCGCCAGCCCCUGCUCUCACUCAAGCUGCAUGCUGUACCCCCAGCACCCAGAGCAGUGCCCAGCAGAAGGGAAAUCUUUGUGGAAGGGCUAAGUGUUAGCUGUAAUUGUUAUUUGUUCCUCACCGUCUCCUGCCUUGAUUUAACAGCACACGGUCCAGGAGCCCUCACUGAGUACCUGGUCAUCUCGCAUGGAGAUGCUCCUGUCUGUGUCUCUCCCUGCAUCUUAAUGCAUAUCUGGUUGGACUGGGUCCUCCCUUCUAGUUAAGGGCUGGGACUCCAGGGUCAGAAUGGGAGAAGGAGACCAAGGGGUCUUCUACUUGGGGGCGCCGUGCGGUGAGCCUGUAUUCUCCGUGCACCUCACAUCAACUUUCCAGAAUAGGUUUUCUGAGUCCCACUUCACAGAUGGAAACCCAAGAGGCUAUACGGAGUCCCUGAGAAGUGACAGAGCUGGGAUUUGAGACUGUGUCUUCCUGACUGGAGGGCCCUGCUGGCCCCCUUGUAGCACCCAGCGGUGCCUCCUCACCCAAAACGAAAAGAGUGUGUCUGGGUGGAGGUGGCAAGCAGGCUCAGAGGUGGGACAGGGCCAGCCUUUGGUCUGCUCCCAGGUAACCCUACAUUACAUCCUGGGCCGCUCCAAGCAACUGUCCUUUGCCGUCUCUUGUGUUUAAGGAGAGGGUCGGCUUUGCUUUCUUGUCUUGUUCAAAGGCCAUGAAACCGAGGGGUGGCACCUUUUAGUAAGUUCUGAGCCAGCUGGCAGGGGACAAGGGCAUGGUACAGGCUGCCUUCUCACCAGCUCCACCAGGGCGAGGAGAGGCUGGUUUCCUUCUUACGACAGCAGCUCCGUGCACGCUUCGGGGCCCUCGUGAGUCCCCGCGUGCUCUCAGGGAAUCCUAACCACACCAGGACUCAGAGAUGGGAAGUGCUCACAACCUCACACAGCCAGGAAGUGGCAGGAGCAAGGCCUGGAUUCUGGGGCCCACGCACCCACUGCUGGGGCCGGAUUAGAAAUCUGAGUCCUCUGUGGCGCUGUUGGAAGGUUCGGUAACUUGCCCCGGUGGUCAUGCAGCGGAUUCCGAGGCCCAGACUCUCAACCACAAUGUCCUGUGGGUGCCUCAUGCCACACAAAUGUGAUCUGAAUUAUCAUUAAAGAACCUCAGACCUUUCCGGGAAGAAGGCAAACCCUAAAUGAACACCAGGAGUUAGGGGAUUUCCAGGGCUGAGGGGACGGGGAUGGUGGUCUGGGUCCUCAGAGUUCCCUGAAAUCAUCAAUUUUGUGAUGAACGUGGGGCUCCACUUGAGAUGUCCUGGCUGCUGGGUCCUCCUGUUCCGAGAAGCCCUGGAGAUGCUGGCACGCCCUGCCUUCCGGCAGUAGGGCUGGGACACGGGCUGGCCUGAAAUGAGGGAGAUCUUCAGCAGCUGGCAGGGAUAGUGCUCUGUGACUCCUCCCUGAGCCCCCAGAGCCUGGCCUUGGUGGUACCCAAGUGCCUGUUCAUCACCCCAAGAGAACCCCAGGCUCCGAGAGCCCCAGGUUGGAGGGUCAUCCUGUGCACCCCCCUGACAGGGCAGGAGUCUCCUCCGUGGCAUCCUUGAUCCAAACUCUGCUUGCUUACCUCCAAAAAUGGGGAAAUCACUCCCUGUCUCGCAGUCAGUUCCCUCUGAUUCCAAGUAAGAUCUCCCCGUCAAAGGAGUCAUCCUAUGUCCUCCUGUUGCUGCCCCACACUGGUCCUAGCUUUUUUCUCCGUGGUCACACAGAGCCAUUCGACCCUGGGGGAAGCCCCUGCGAUCACCAGAACCCCCCGCCAUGAGCUCAGCUCUCUGCACUCCACUUGACCCACCCCUCCUCCCCCAUGCUUCUUGGCUAAUUUCCAGGUUUUGUGGUGAGUCAGGAAAAACCAGAGAAGCCUGGAAGCGUUUUACCCACACGGCAAUGACGGCAGUCCAUGCAAUUCAGCAAACUUUAGCCAGAGACGGUGCCAAGGGCUGGAGACACAGAAAUGAAUCAGAGUCCCUGCCCAAGAGGAUCUUCUCCACCAGGACAGGAGGCACCUAGAACCCACUACCUCUGGAGACAGGCCCCCACGAUGAUUUAACAAGCCCCAGGAGGGCCCCGCAGCCAUGCCCUGGAAUCCAAUCUUAUCACUGGGAGACAAGAGGGCACUUAACUCAGCGUGGCGACGUGGGUUGGGCGGCACCACCGCGCGCAUAAUGGCCCUGGCAGCUUGUGCUGAAAUGCUCCGGAGCCACCUUCCGGGGGCGAUUGACUUGUUGCGUGCCCGCGCUCGGAUGCCACCUGGUAAGGCUGUCGGCUGGACGCUGAAGAAAUAAAUCUGUUCCUGAAGAUGCGCCGCCCCAUCCCCACCGCGACAGCACCCACCCCCUCCCACCCCGCCACCCCGCCACCCCGCCACCCCUGCCAGGAGCGGCUGGGCCUGCCCCGCAGCGCCACCGCGUGGGAGAGGCGGGUCACGACAGCAGGAGGUCGGCCUCUCAACUUGAGCGCUAAGCGCAGGGCCGAGGGAAGCAACCCGCGUCGUAAGCCGCCUUUUCAGCUGCCACGCGCGCCAGGUCCUAUUCCCAUCACAUUUUUAAAAUUUAUUUUUUCAAAGUGGAAAUAUAUUUGCGGCUUGUUUGUAAUUCUUUAAGUAAUACAUGCUUACGGAAAAAAAUAUGCAAACUCCAUAGACUAUAUGUAGGCGGAAAUAGACGGUUUCCUCCAGCAUUCCGUUCCCCACCCCCACAGACAACCGCUGAUUGCAUUUUGGAAAAAGGCUUCCAAAUUUUUUUUUUUCUACAGAAAAAAUAUAUGCAUAUGUUUCUAUUUGUCCCACCUGUUUUGUUUCUUUUUCUUUCUUAUUUCAUGUAUAUA